CCUGCCACCACCCCUCUUUUUCUCUUUACUUCUUUCACUUCCUUCCUUGCUUCCUUGAUCUCCUCGCUUCCAUAUUUUCCUCCACUUUGCCUUCGCCACCGCCAUAACCAUGAUAUCGAUGCCAGUUCUGAUGCUGAGGUCCAUGUUGACUAUGCUGAGAGCACUUGUGCGUGAACCCGCCGCCACAGUGACCACCAUCCUCUUCUACACCAAUCUCCUUCCUCGCCAUCUUUACUUAGAGCGAUCUCUCCGCCCAGACCUUCUUCACCCUCACAACUAUUUCUUCCAUCUUCUUAUCAACUUCCUCACCUGUCUCUGAUCAGAGCUACGAAUGAGAUCAGUUCAUGAACUCAUGAAACUCAGCGUUGAGCCUCACACAUGUUUAUCGUACGUUACUUGUAUCACAAGAAUAAUGGGAGCUUCACUGAUUAUAAUAAGCAAGCUGAAAGCUUCCUCCUCCUUCAUUAUAUAUAUUCAUUAUUAUUCGUUCUUAUUAUAUAUGCAGCGCAUGUGUGGAAGAUAGGAUAUUGAAGUUGUAAAUUUGUCAGUGUAGGAACUGAAUCUAGCUAGCUGGAUGGUUGUUAAUUGAAGAGAAGGUCCGAUCAAAUUUCAGGGAAUUAUCAUAUCAUCAAUAUUAUGCAUUGAGCUAGAUUGAGAGCCAAAAUUAUUUGAGGAUUUAUCACGUAAUUUAUGUAUGCACAAGUGUAAUUUGAACAUGACUUAA